GUAGAGGCAAACGUAUACGAACGGCGUUGCCGCCAUUGAAAACUCUUGGCACUUUAAAGCAAGCGAGACCAACUUCCUGUCUGUCAUCCAACACAGAAUCACCUUGAUUAGGUCAAGAGAGCCAUAAACGGAGCUUUCCAAGG